UACGUAGGGGGCGAGCGUUAUCCGGAUUUAUUGGGCGUAAGGCGUGUGUAGGCGGUUUAUUAAGUAUAAGAUUAAAGCCCGAAGCUCAACUUCGGUUCGUCUUAUAAACUGGUAGGCUUGAGUAUGGUAGAGGCAAAUGGAACUUCUAGUGUAGCGGUAAAAUGCGUAGAUAUUAGAAAGAACACCAGUGGCGAAGGCGAUUUGCUGGGCCAUUACUGACGCUGAGACACGAAAGCGUGGGGAGCAAAUAGGAUUAGAUACCCUAGUAGUCCACGCUGUAAACAAUGAGUACUAAGUGUUGGGGUUUCCCAGUGCUGAAGUUAACACAUUAAGUACUCCGCCUGAGUAGUACGGUCGCAAGGCUGAA
rnacentral:rRNA from 1 species